rnacentral:rRNA from 1 species
AACAGGACGUCACAGAGGGUGAGAAUCCCGUACGUGACCGUCGGCCAACCCCGUGUGAGGCCCCUUCGACGAGUCGAGUUGUUUGGGAAUGCAGCUCAAAAUGGGUGGUAAAUUUCAUCUAAAGCUAAAUACCGGCCAGAGACCGAUAGCGCACAAGUAGAGUGAUCGAAAGAUGAAAAGCACUUUGGAAAGAGAGUUAAACAGUACGUGAAAUUGUUGAAAGGGAAGCGCUUGCCACCAGACUUGCCCGCGGGUGAUCCGCCGUCCCUUGGGGCGGUGCACUCGCCCGCGAACAGGCCAGCAUCGGUUUUGGCGGCCGGACAAAGUGCCCGGGAAUGUAAUUCCCCCCGGGGAGUGUUAUAGCCCGGGUCGCAAUGCGGCCAGCCGGGACCGAGGACCGCGCUUCGGCUAGGAUGCUGGCGUAAUGGUUGUCAGCGACCCGUCUUGAAACACGGACCAAGGAGUCUAACAUCUAUGCAAGUGUUUGGGUGUCAAACCCAUGCGCGUAAUGAAAGUGAACGGAGGUGGGAACCCCCCCGGGGGAGCACCAUCGACCGAUCCUGAUGUCUUCGGAUGGAUUUGAGUACGAGCAUGGCUGUCGGGACCCGAAAGAUGGUGAACUAUGCUUGGAUAGGGUGAAGCCAGAGGAAACUCUGGUGGAGGCUCGCAGCGGUUCUGACGUGCAAAUCGAUCGUCAAAUCUGGGCAUAGGGGCGAAAGACUAAUCGAACCAUCUUCGCUGCUGGGUGGUUAAUGGAAAGUAUUGAAGAGAAAAAUAUUUUUUAGUUCGCGUUGGCGAACCACACUGUCAGAUGUAUAGAUUGUUGAAUCGACAAUGAUUCAUCAAAAUAUACAACAAUUUGAGAUGACUUCAGAUUGUUACAGACCAAACGACGGUGGCUGAUCGAAUAUGAUCAGUUGUAAGAUGGCCGAGACCACUUCUUAACAGAAAAUGGCCAAUGGGAAUUUCAGUUACCAGAUCCAUCUGCGGGGGAUGUGUAGGCAAAUUGGAUGUGAAAUGAAAUCGCCCGGAAUGGCUUUUGGUAUAUAGCUAGUAGCUGGUUCCUGCCGAAGUUUCCCUCAGGAUAGCAGUAACGUUUUCAGUUUUAUGAGGUAAAGCGAAUGAUUAGAGGCCUUGGGGUCGAAACGACCUUAACCUAUUCUCAAACUUUAAAUAUGUAAGAAGUCCUUGUUGCUUAGUUGAACGUGGACAUUUGAAUGCACCGUUACUAGUGGGCCAUUUUUGGUAAGCAGAACUGGCGAUGCGGGAUGAACCGAACGUGAGGUUAAGGUGCCGGAAUGCACGCUCAUCAGACACCACAGGCGGGGCAAGUUAGGUUUUUGCAUCUUUGUGGGGUCGCCCUGGGGGCAGAUUGCCUCCGGACAGUCUCUGGUGCCACCGAUGUGGCUCACCGGGGGCGAGGUCUACGAUCUGCGAGGAGUGUUGGCGGUUGACCAUCCAGCUUACCCGCAACCUCCCCUUUCCAGGGGGUGGCCCACAGAUCAAGUUUAGGCCGGGGGAUUCAAAUCCAACCCCUGAAGAUAUGAUCGGCCUGGAGGCGCAAGUCCCCGGGGUCGCGAAAAGGUGUUAGUUCAUCCAGACAGCCGGACGGUGGCCAUGGAAGUCGGAAUCCGCUAAGGAGUGUGUAAUAACCCACCGGCCGAAUGA